rnacentral:rRNA from 1 species
UACGGGGGGGCAAGCGUUGUUCGGAAUCACUGGGCGUAAAGCGCACGUAGGCGGAUUGUUAAGUCAGGGGUGAAAUCCUGGAGCUCAACUCCAGAGCUGCCUUUGAUACUGGCAACCUAGAGACUGGAAGAGGUUAGUGGAAUUCCCAGUGUAGAGGUGAAAUUCGUAGAUAUUGGGAAGAACACCAGUGGCGAAGGCGGCUAACUGGUCCAGCACUGACGCUGAGGUGCGAAAGCGUGGGGAGCAAACAGG